rnacentral:misc_RNA from 1 species
AAGUAGAGCCUGGUGCCUGGGAGCGGCUGGCGCGGCGGAAUCCAGGGCCGACCCGGGCCGGACCGACCCCAGGCGGCGACGGAAUCAGUCCCCAAUGCCUGGAAAUUCCUCAUUGGAUUACUGUGUUUUAAACAGAAUUUCGUGAACAGCCUUUUAUCUCCAAGCGGAAAGAAAGAUGUGGAAAGCUUCAGCAGGCCACGCUGUGUCCAUCGCCCAGGAUGACGCGGGGGCCGAUGACUGGGAGACCGACCCUGAUUUUGUGAAUGAUGUGAGUGAGAAGGAGCAAAGAUGGGGUGCCAAGACGGUGCAGGGCUCCGGGCACCAGGAGCAUAUCAACAUACACAAGCUGAGGGAGAAUGUCUUUCAAGAGCAUCAGACCCUUAAGGAGAAGGAACUUGAAACAGGACCAAAAGCUUCCCAUGGCUAUGGAGGGAAAUUUGGUGUGGAACAAGACCGAAUGGAUAAGUCUGUAGCCUAAGUCAUGCCAGUCCGAAGACCAAAGUCAAAUCUGUAGGUCCCCAUGGUUCACAGCACACACGGAAUCCAGCCAAAGGCCUGGCUAACAUCCUUCAUGCGUUCAGUGACCAUCAGAGCAGU